CGUAACAAUAUCGUAAAAUACAGUAUAACAGCCAUAAUGUCAUGACCUGCUCGUCUGAAACCUCUUGUGGCCACGCCCCCCUCGUUGACCUCAUGUGGAUUCCCCAUGUUUGCCAGCUGUUUCGAAUUGUCUUCAUUAGUUCUGUGUAUUUAAGUCCACGUCACAGUAUGUUUUCCCUAGUUCCGUUAUUGUAUUGUUAUGCCUGUUUGUUCCUUAUGCCCCAUUCGUGUGCCUGUUAAAUCCCUUUAUUUUCCCCCGGUCCUUAUCUCCUUCACCUGCUUCCCUGGUCCCAUCCCAUAAUACGUCUGUUCUCAAAAACCUCCAGAAGAAAAAAUACAGUAUUGCAGCACAUUGAUGUAGUGGCGGUUUAAUUAGACAGUACAUAAAUGACACAAUCAAGCGACCGGGAGCAAACACAUUAAAAAGAGAAGAAAAAUGAAAAGUGCAAAGCAAAAAAAAUAUACAUAAGAAGUCAGUAACUACAUGCCCUGGCAGAGGGUUCAGUGUAAGCCAAGCAACCGAAAACCAGCUUUCUUUGCAGACGAUACAAACUGGAACCAGCUGACAAUAACAUUGCAGUAUGAACUCUGAUGAUGCAGUAGCUGGGUGUUUCAGGGGUGAGCGGUCCGUGUUUUCCUAUGUGGGUAGAUUCAGCUGUAUCGUUCUAUCGAUCGAUCGCCAUGUCAUUACCUGCCCCGCCCUGCCCAGCAGAAUUUAUACAUUAAAGCCAAAAGGAUUCCAGAAGAAGCUGCAAUAGUAAUCCACAAUAUCGGGCUUCUGCCUGGAUGUCCUGUUAGGUGAGCAGACCCACAGGAGAUGGGGACUGGAACGUGCAGAGGGUUUGUGUUUCGUCUUGAGAUCUCAUGAGACAAGUUUCACUUUCUAAUUGUUACACGUUAUGCUGCUACUGGUGUUUUUUGUUAACAGCUUCAGUGUAGCAGAGUUUGCAAAAAAUAUGAAACCAAAAUAGAUGAUAAAUUCUGUGCAAAACAGUUGGCAGGAUGAGGAGGGCAUUGCAUAUUAAUAUCUUGGCUGCUGCAUGUCAAGCCAGUCCCUCCGGGGCACCCAUUGGUCACCUGACCUCAGGCUGAGUGUCACAUGGUGAUCACAUGUGGGAGAUGUUAUUUGAUGCAAUGCUAAAUAAUAUACCAUGUUACUCCAAUGUGAUACUGCAUGGUUUGAUGGGCCCACAAACUACCAGCUGGCUCCAGCAUGAAUGCCGAUGACAUGGAUGAAGAGAUCAUGAGAGCCGUUUGAUGAAGGACAUCUGACAGGAAACAGUGACAGCAGGUCAGGCUGUAAGACACUGGGUACGGAGGUACAGCUUUGGGAAAGAGACUCUGAUGAAGGAAAUCAAAUGCUGGAUGUGGAACAUGGGGAUUAUGGUCACGCGUCUCUAAAAUGGAGCCUGAUUAUUCGCACUGCUGUAAGAUUGACCACCUGAGAAGCAGAACAGGGUGUGAGUAUGAAUUCAAUAACCAGCAAACAAAAUACUGAUUGAUUAAUUAAAAUCCUAGAUAUUCUAUUAAAACAGGAAUAAAAACCACUUUGAUUCCUCAAACAACAUAUAAAUAUUUAGGAAAACCUAUUUACUUAAAAUCUGCGUACCAUUAUUAGCCUGCUGGCCCAUUGAAAUGAGUGGAUCACUGGAAUUUGGAAGUCGGUCAGCUUCCUUCCCUUUCUGCUUCUCGUGUUUAUAGAUGCAGAUUGAAACUAAAAGAAGGAAUCCAAUAACAACUCCCAUAACAAUCCAGAAUUUUCUUCUUGGAUGAGCUGUGGAAGGAGAUCAGGAUUAAAGGAGACGGCACAUGCCAAGUCAUCCAGCACAGACCACAGUAUAAAUGUCGAUGGCUGACUGUGACCUGAGUCUGGUGCAGAAGGACAAAAGUGCUAGAGGUGAAUCUAGGAGGAAACAUGUCAUUUCAUACCUCAGAGCGAAAUACUGAGAAAUAAGAGCAUAAGUGGGGCUUAAAAAGCUGGUUGGAAAGAAGAUAAACAUCCGGAAGAGAAAAACUGGGUCACAGUGAAGAUCGUGAAUAAAACACACAACGGUGAUCAGUCACCUACAGCGAGCAGCUGGACCCCAAACACCAACACGACAGACACACGUCUCUGGAUUCAGGGAGGAAACGGGAUUCACAUGCAGACUUCAAAGAUGUGAGACCAAAAGGUGAAAAAACAUCAACACAACAAUAGUGCAAACGACUGUCUGUAAAAAGUGAAAAUAGACAGAGUUUACAGGUGAAGAUAGGACAGUUAUCACAUUUGGAUGAGCAUCUGCCUGGAUGUCCUGUUAGGUGAGCAGACCCGCAGGAGAUGGGGACUGGAACGUGCAGAGGGUUUGUGUUUCGUCUUGAGAUCUCAUGAGACAAGUUUCACUUUCUAAUUGUUACACGUUAUGCUGCUACUGGUGUUUUUUGUUAACAGCUUCAGUGUAGCAGAGUUUGCCCCUUAACACCAGUGUAAUAUUGAGCUAUUGAUACAUUUCUAGUUACAAAGAGCUAUCAUUAAGGAUCAGCAUCAUUAAGGAUCAGCAUCAUUAUGGAUCAGCAUCAUUAUGGAUCAGCAUCUUUGGGUUAAAAAAUACAGGUCCAGCUCUGCCUCACAGCUGUGCUCUGCUCCAUCAUCAGCUCUGCUGGGGGUUAUCAGGAGGGUGGAGGACACAUUCACAGUGAGGUUCUGAACAGGAGCGAUGUUCUGGAUCUCACACUUCAGCUGGUACCGACUCCCCUCCACCAUGGGGUCAGUCGAGUUCAUAGACCUGACAGAAACACUGUCUGGGGGAUCUGUGAGGGAAAAUGAGGAGCAUUAUUUCUCAAAGGACGCUGCACCAACGGCAUAUUAAAAGUUGAAACUCACCGACUUGGAGGACCAAGACCAGCCAGGAGACCAACACCAGGCUGGAUGUCAUCUCAGGUCUCUGUACCAAGGAUGGAGACUGGCUGGUGGUUCUGUUCUGACCCGGUUUGGGCUUGUUUUCUAGAUCAAGCAAACAUGAUCUUAUUCUCAGUACAGCAGCAGAUGUAAGAAAUGAAGAAAACCACUGUGACCAAGACUGCAGGAUGUGACGCAGAAAAGCCAAAUGUUAUCAGUGAGGUACAGAAGUCAUAAGGGUUUUGUCCGCAGGCCUUUGUUGUGGCUUAUGGCACAUGAGGGAUUCAUUUCAGUGUAGAGGGUCACUGGAGCCCCCCAUGAUGCUGGCUGUGCCCCUUGGGUGGUCUUCACUGCCUUUUGCAGUGCUCUGAAGUGGCAAGCUGAGCAGUUUCUACACCGUGAUACAUUUUGCCAAGUAAAAGAUGGAUUCUGUGAUGCAUGUUUAGAAGAAGGUGGGGACUGCUGGCAUCAUCUGGACCUUGCCCAUGAGUCUGAGGAUAUAAAUCCUCAUCCUCCUGUCUUCCCAUUCCCCUAUUGGCUUGACAGAAUGACCAGACACCAAUUGGCUGUCUUCACAUUCCUCCAAGGAUCUACUCAUGGACGUUUUCUCUCAUCCCUGCAUCUGAAUACCCCACCGCUCCAACCCAGAAACUGUUGGCGUCAGUGCGCUUUGCCUCUCUGAAGAUCCCAUCGUACAGGCGUUUACUGAGGCUGUUGCCUUGCUUCUCCAUGCUGGGCAGGAGUUGGUUACAGUCUCCCCGACUUCAGAUCCCCAGGAGGUGGAAAGGAUCCUGGAGAAACUGAUACAGGUACAACACCUCCGGAGGGGAGCAGUCGAACCUUGCUCUCUUCACAUGAAAAAAUAUGCUGCAGAGGUAAGGGGUAAUUUGAAACAUAUGGGCAUGAUCUAAUGCAUGGAUCUGAAAUGAAAGUUUGUGCAUGUAACCUGCAUUGUGCGGGCAAACACAAUAUCACACCGUAUUUAAAGUCGGAACCUCAGGCAUGAGAGGAGAGCAAGGAGGUUAAAAUCCAUGGGUGCGAGUGUCUGUCGCUAGCAUGUCUCAUAAGGUGUCAGGGAAUGAAGUUUACUCACUGCACACCACUGUGCCUGCUGGCUGCCAUUACUUGGAAUAGUAAAUUUGGUGGCAUUUCAAGUAGCUAUGACACUUAACACUCAUUAACUGAUAAUCUAGUGUGAAGUAAUCACACAAAGUAAAUGUGACUUCAUGAUUAAUUCAUGGUGAGCAAAAGGAAUUCACGAUGCAUCUUGUAUUAAUUCAUCCAUUAAAUAAUCAUGAAUCCUGAAGUAGUUAAGCAUGACUUAAGUAUAAGAUUUGUGCCCUUUCAGACUGUUACCAGUGAAGUUCACAGAACUGACAGAAACACUGUCUGGGGGUUCUGUUAGGAAAAAUGAGAAGCAUUAUUUCUGAAAAAUAACUUGCACUUACAUGUAAAUGUACUAUAAAAUAAUUGAAUUACAUGAUUUGAUGCAGAAUUUACAACCUUUUGUAUUAAAUGAUACAAUAUCUGACGUGGCUUGUGCCUCCGACGCUGAAGUACUUUUGCCCCCAUAAACAGGAAGUUCUGCUACUUUGUACAUCAAAAGAAAGCGAAAGGCAGGAAAUCAGCAUUGCUUUGCAAAGAAAGUGAAACCGAAACGGCUGCAAACACCAGGAAAUAUAUUCUGGCUUUUGUUUGUGUGUUUUAAGGGGGAUGUGGAAGUUUAAUUCUGAAUUAUUGCGUGAUGGCUGACGUCAGGGAGAAACGUAAACUUGAAAAACCACAAGCGAGCAAACAAACAGCAUCACGUCAAUCAAAGCGUUUCACUUGCUGUUGCCAAAAAGAUACACUGCUGUUGGUAGGAUGGGGGGGGGAGCCACUGAAUAUCAAUAUCCUGGCAGGUCAGGCUGUAAAAGACUGCUGUGGGAUACAGCUAGGGGAAGGAGACCCUGAUGAAGGCAAGACAAAUGCAGAAUUUGCCAGAUGGGGAUCGUGGUCAUGCAUCUCUAAAAUGGAGCCACAUUCUUCACACUGCAGUGUGAGUAUGAACUGAUGUGGAUCACAAACUUUAUCAGUGACCAUAAAUGAUCUGCUGGCCCUUAGGAAUGAGUUGAUCUCUAGAACUGGCAGGCUGACCUGCCUCCUCUUCAGCCUCCAGUGUACAUUGAUACCAGCCAGAACUGCAACCAGAAUGAAUGUGACAAUUUCUUGUAUAGAAAUUCUGCAGGAUCUGUGGAAGGUCAGGGUUAAUUUAUGCAUGCACAGGGGUACUGCAUGGACAAGCAAGAGAGACCUGCAAUGUUUUCCAUGGGAAUUAUUGUGGAAUUCAUAUGCGCCGCUGUAUGUACAGCUGACAAACACACACAAACUAAAUAUACCAAUAAAAAAGAGAUAUAUUGAGACAUUUGAAUUUAACAACACUUUAUUGAACACAAAUUUAUUUACUUGCUAACAUUAUAGACCACAAACACAUGGCGUGAGGCACGAGGCAACUUAACUUGGGGAAUCUGCAGCGAUGUGCUGGUCCAAGCCGAAAAUGUGCUGGAAUCCCUGUAUUGCCCCUGUAGCCGACAGCACACCUACCGCCCGCGGACCUACAUAAAACGCACUUCCAGUUCCUGGCGCUCCACCGCUAUUAUUACAUCUAAUUAUACAACAGUGCCAUCUAUUGGUAAAACAGCGCUACUGUAUCUUGAGGAAAGAUGAAAAGACAUUUGAGAGCCAGGAGGAGAAUUAAAAUGUUUGGUACCGGUCAUUUUGAGUAAGAACAUCUACUGCAAAUAAAAUCAUCUGGAUGGGGCUUGCGUGGGUUUCUGCUGGGUACAAAGACACGUGGGCAAUAUCCUUAUUACUAUACAGCCCUUCUAUAGAGAGGCUCGUGUAAGAGACACUGAUAUAAAAAGUUUUUUAAAUCUGUGAUAAAAGAAGGGGAUCUGAAGACGUUCAACAUGCAUGUAUGUACGUGGCUAUUUU